rnacentral:rRNA from 1 species
GGCUCAGGAUGAACGCUAGCGGCAGGCCUAAUACAUGCAAGUCGAACGGUGUCUUCGGACAUAGUGGCGCACGGGUGCGUAACACGUAUGCAACCUACCUUACAUUGGGGGAUAGCCUUUCGAAAAGGGAGAUUAAUACCGCAUAAGACAGUAGCUGGGCAUCCAGCAGCUGUUAAAGCAUUGCGGUAUAAGAUGGGCAUGCGUCCUAUUAGCUAGAUGGUGAGGUAACGGCUCACCAUGGCUACGAUAGGUAGGGGGCCUGAGAGGGUGGUCCCCCACACUGGUACUGAGACACGGACCAGACUCCUACGGGAGGCAGCAGUGAGGAAUAUUGGUCAAUGGGCGCAAGCCUGAACCAGCCAUGCCGCGUGCAGGAAGAAUGCCCUAUGGGUUGUAAACUGCUUUUAUUUGGGAAUAAACCUCUUUACGUGUAGAGAGCUGAAGGUACCAAAUGAAUAAGCACCGGCUAACUCCGUG